rnacentral:misc_RNA from 1 species
AAAAAUAAUCAUCAAUAUUUGAUUAAAUUCUUUCUCCCUUUUCACUUCUCAGCCAAUCAUUUGAAAAUUUCUCUACGCUGCACCGCUCCAAUUUCUCUCACAGCUACAGUUUUGCUUAAUCGGCCAAAGAACUUUGACUGCUGUUAUUCGAUUUCCCAUUUUUGCUGCUGCUUCUUCUCGGAAGGACCCACCCUGAUUUCUUCAUCAGAAUUGGAGGUAAUUUUUUCCCCUUACUCUUUUAAAUCGUCAUUCUGCGAAUUUGGGACUCAAUUUGAUCGACUUUGCAUCUGGGUAAUUGGGAAAUCAUGUUUUUUGCUCAGUUAAGCGCAGGUUUUUGACACUAUGGUGUGUUAAUGCUGAGUUUGAUAAGUAUUGUGGUAUGCAAAUUUUCAGAAUGCGUUAAUUCUCUUCAUGAGAGCCCUAGUAGAUGAAUCCCUGCAAAUUUUCAGAAUGCGUUAAUUCUCUUCAUGAGAGCCCUAGUAGAUGAAUCCCUUUUGCACCAUAUAUAUUAAUGUUUAUGCUCAUAGUAUUGGUUGCAUUAUGCGUGUCAGCAAUUGGAGAUUCUUGUUAUUAAUGGCGGAUCUCAAAGAGCGCCUGCUUCCACCAAAACCUGCGUCUGCUAUAAAUCUAAGAGAUGC